GCUUCACCCUGAGAAUCACAAAUUCUGCCUAUGGUGUUAAUGCUGAAGGCAGAAAGGACAGCUGCCUAGGAAUUAUGCUAAACCAUCCUGUUUGUCUUUCUGUUGACUUUUUCUUUUCUGCUUCCAGUGAGCAGAAGGAGAUUUUUGCAGGAAGGAUAAGCCUUGGAAGCCUUCACCUUGACUGUCCUUUCACUCUGACACUCAGCCUUCUGCUAUCUGCGCUAGAAGACACUAGAAGACAUCUAUGGGUUUCCUAGGGCAGGAGCAGCUCUUGCUUCCUAUGGAAGUGUAAAUCUUCAAGCACAGACUGGACUACAGAAGAAAGAGCUUGCAACCAUCCAACAAGCUUAGACGCUUCCUUCUUGUAACAUCUAUAAAGCUGUCUACUACACCAACAUCUUUUCCAAGAGAAGUUAUGCAACAUGUUAGAAAUCUUUCUUUUCCUGCUUAUUAGCUUGGUAAGAUUGGAGUCAUCCACCCAUGCAGAGAAGUGCAGUCAGUGCGGAAGGCAAAAAUCUGACUACUUUCGGCAUCGAGGGAGUAUGAACUUCAGGAGGGCCCUUCUUCAAUGGAAACAAUGAAACUUAUCUAGAUGCUCCUCAGAGUGCUGCAAGAAAAAGAUCAAGAAAUAUGGAGCCACAUUGCAAAAAAGAUCUUCUGUCAACAAGAAUAUUUUGCAGCUCCAUUUCUGACCCUAUCGAUGUCUUCCCAUGUGAAAUAUCAUCAGAGGUUUGCAGUGCUGAGGGAUUUCAAUGCCAGCUGAUGACCUGGUGAGAAGGAAACAUGGAUGAUACACCAUGUCACGCCAAGUCAAUCUGCUGUCUUUGUGCACCAGGAAACAGAGACCAGCUAUUUAGUCCCUAGAUGAACAGAAGAAAGUUUUCAGAAGAACAGGAAGCACAGAAAGAAUCUAGGCCAGGAUUCUCCAGGAAACAAUGAUCAAGAAACAAGCAGGACUCUAGGGAACAUCAUAGCUGGCUUUAAUAAAAUACACAGCACAUCUGGCAUUAACGGGACCAUCUCCUGGAACCUCAUUUACCUUGGCUUUGCUACAUUUAUUUAGUUACCAAUGAACAGUUCAGUUCCAGAGGGUGUUUGCUAGACACUAAUAGAUGAAAUGCAUCUCGAGACUCUCAUAACCUCACUUUACUUCUUGUGUGUUGGGGAAGAGAGGGAUAUAAAGAGGAAGACUUAAAGAAGAUGAAGACCUUAUUCUGUAGCUGUGAUUUCCUUCAGCAUUUGGAUGGUCAUAGACUGCUUUUCCUACCAAAUGAAAUUGAGAUAUACAACACUUUCCUUUUCUGCAUUGCAAUAAAUUUACAAUCCUUAAAAGUAUCUCAUAAAUACAAGCUGUUGACCCUCAUCCAUCCAGAACAUCUUGAAUUUCAGCUGUCAGGGGAGUGAUGUAUUAAUUGAGAUAAGAGACUCAAUCAUUCCUCAAAUCUAACAUACGCAGUUUGGUUUUGCCCUUUUGCCCAUGUCUAAGGAAAAGCAUAGAUAACCUUGUCUAACGAUCACUGUGAAACUGUUACAACCUCCCCUUGGAUUUCUCCCUUGGCUGCUAAUGUUUUUGUUCUCAUGAAAUAGCAUAAACUGUGGCUAUUAUGAACAGUCCAUCCUCCUUGCUGAUGUGGUUAUGAGUACAAGCACAUCACCAUUCACUCUUUGUGUAUUUAUUGGGUAUGAAAGGUGGGAUAAGGACAAAAUUUUGCUUUAGAUUUAAAAUAUUUUUCAUAGCAAAGAUUUGGCCUUCUCUCUGUCUUCUCAGAGGCAUGCUUUCUCUUAGAAUGGUGAACUUUCUUUAGGAGCAUGAAGGCAAAAGAAGUGCAAUCCCUUUGACCUCAGGUAUGUAUCUGAGGUCAGCUGGGUUAAACCUCCACUGCUAUAAACAGCUGAUCCCAGGUUUUCAGCAAACUAGAGGACAGAACAAGGCUAAAUGGAAAGCCAGCGGCUAAAGUCUACUCUCCCAGGACACUUACCUUUCCGGGAGCUCUGCUCUAGGGUCCCUCCUCAGAAAUCUUUCCCAUAUGAUCUUUUCCUUCACAUAUAUAUUCAGUCCAAAAUAACUUGUGUGAAUCUCUUCUGGACACAGGUCAUACCUUUUCUUCUUUGAAGCAACCUCCCUGUAAAUUCUUGCAAAAAUGUCUCUGCUCUGCCAUGUCUCCUAUCUGUGUAGCUAUUUUUGUCUUUUAAUUUAUGGAAAAGAAGAUUUUAACAACACUUUCAUGUAACAGAUAAACCCCAAGUUUUUUUGCAGUUCAAAAUGACCAGUGGCAAUACUGACAUGUAGAAACAAUGCUAUAGUUCCGAGGAAGAAAAAAAAAAAGAAAAGGGAAAAAAAAAUAAAAAAAAGUCACUUUACUUACAGCUUAGAGUUUUCAGCUUUGUAACUGCUUUGAAAGCAUGUUUGAUGUCUCUUAGAAUUUCCCUCGGCAAAAAAGGACAAUGUUAGGUCUCCCAGCCUUCAAAAUAGGGUGCUGUAUUCUGAAUGCCUGCUGAGGAUGUUAUGUGCAAAUUAAGAUUGUUGAGCUGAACCAAGAAAAUGUGCUAAUGGCUUGCUGCUAUAGACCAGCAUGUUUCAAUGUCCAAGUACAUUCCUUGGCAUCAUUUCAGUGUAAAGUAGCUACUAGUAUAGACUACUUUGAGAACCUGGCCUUUCAAGAUAUAAAGAGGGCUUACAAGAAAGACAGAGGCUUUUUACCAGGGCUACACUAUAGUGACAGGACAUGGGGCAGUGGUUUUAAACUGAAAGUGGGUAGAUUUAGACCGGACAUAAAGAAGAUUUUUUUUAUUAUGAGGAUGGUGAGACCCUGGAAAAAGUUGCCCAGAAAAAUCAUGUAUGCCCCAUUAUUAGACAUGUUCAAGGUCAAGUUGGAUGAGGCUUUGAGCUAUCUUAUCUAGUGAAAGAUGGCUCUGUUAACGGCAGAGGGGUUAGAACUAGAUGAUCUUUAAGGUCCCUUCCAGUCCAAACCAUUCUAUGAUUCUAAUUGACAUAUCUAAACAGGAACAUACUCCAUCAAUUUCUGCCAAAGGACUCCUCCAUUAAGAAAGGCAGAGUGAGUAGAGGUUGUUAAAGCCUAUGUUUCAUGCAUAAAGCUUAGGCACUGCAGCAUCUGUAGCUCAGUACAUUAGGUUUACAAAGAAAGAUGACUCAACUCAACAAGCCUCAGAGAAACUAUCCUCAACUCAAGUUAUGGCUGUUAUGUUGGGAAGUGUGCAUUGCUUCCUUCAAAAGACAUGGGUAGUAGGGAAAAACAGACCUUUCUAUUUGACUAACAGAGAUGAAAACCAGGUUACCUUUAAAGGCACAACCUCUUUAGACUUGAGCAAGAAGCAGCACAUUUCAUAUUAAGCACAGCCUGAGAAAAAUAACUCUGAACUUAACUUUGUUAUGAUAAUAUAUGAGACAGUUGGGAAGAAAUAGCUGUCUGAUAUAUUUGGAACAGAACAAGGUGUUAGUGAAUGGAGAUGUGAAGUUGUUGCUGCCUACGAGAUACAAAGAUUCAGGUUGAAAAUAUCCUUUAUAUUUGACAGAAAAGCCCUAUCUUUGUAUCCAUAACUUUUAGCAGCCAGACAAAUUACAUUUUCAGUUCCCAAGGAUUUUUGGAUGAGAUUGGAGACAUUUUAUAAUUGGUCCUUGGGGCUUGGUGCUGAGAGUUUAUAGAUAAAGAGAAAAGUUUUUCCUACUGGUAACAAGCUACUUCUGUCCUCAAUGAUGCUUCAAUGACUUUGCAGAGUAAGUGUUCAGUCAGCUACUGAAAUAUUUAUGCUAGGGAGCACAACAUUAAUGCAAUAAUCAAGAGUUAU